rnacentral:rRNA from 1 species
GGGUCCGAGUUGUAAUUUGUAGAGGGCGUUUCGGGAGCGGCGCCGGUCUAAGUCCCUUGGAACAGGGCGUCAUAGAGGGUGAGAAUCCCGUCUGCGACCGGCGGCCAACCCCAUGUGAAACCCCUUCGACGAGUCGAGUUGUUUGGGAAUGCAGCUCAAAAUGGGUGGUAAAUUUCAUCUAAAGCUAAAUACCGGCCAGAGACCGAUAGCGCACAAGUAGAGUGAUCGAAAGAUGAAAAGCACUUUGGAAAGAGAGUCAAACAGUACGUGAAAUUGUUGAAAGGGAAGCGCUAGCAACCAGACCUGUCCGCGGGCAUCAGCCUCCGUUCUUCGGGGGUGCACUUGUCCGCGAUCAGGCCAGCAUCGGUUCGGGCGGUCGGAUAAAGGCCCUGGGAAUGUAGCUCCCCUCGGGGAGUCUUAUAGCCCUCGGCGCAAUGCGGCCAGCCCGGACCGAGGACCGCGCUCGGC